UUCAGAAGAGGGAUUUCCAAAACCCUCUUUCGAACGACGCUCGAGCUCUGCCUGGUUUCUCAUUUUCUUCUUCCGCCGGUGGGUGAGCUCCGAAUCUUUGAAGGAUUUCAGGCAUAUCUCUCCUGCCGUGGCUUGAUUUUGCAGUAACAAUGGCAACACUGCUCGGUAUUCCUUUUCCUUUUAGAAGGUGCAUCAUAAGGAUCUUGUCAAUGUUAACUAGUCGUGAUAAUAUUGAAGUUAUACAUUUGGCAUUGUUGUAAGCCUGUUGGAGUAGACAGGGUCCAGUUGUUUGUCAAACAGUUCCUCUCCUUCGUUUACAUAAUGUUUCAUACAUUCUCCUCACACCACAGAGGCUGAGGGUCUGAGGAAUCAAUACUCUGGCACCUUCACAUCACAUGUUUAAUUUAUGAUCGAUAUUUAUUAAAUCUUUGGCUCUUUCAUGUUUUGUUUGAUGGUAUUUGCUCGUCGGCUUACGAAGUCUCAUAUAGAGUUAACAGCUUGUUUACUCUUGGGCGGAAGCAGCAGGUUGCAAUCCCCUCUCUGUAUUUGGGGAAGAUCCUCCUUCUUGAUCGGUUUUCUUGUUCCUUUAAUCUGGCCUAUAUUUUCAAUCUUUGGACCUUUUUUUUUUCCAAUAAAAUUUACUAUUACUGAUCCAAAAAAAAAAAAAGAAGAA